UUUCUAAAAGAAUAAGAUUUGCAUCACAUAUGUAAAAAUAAUAAUGAUUUAAAUACUACAGGAUAUGCCCAACAUCAAAGAGUUCUUUUUCCACUUAGCAGACUAUGAUAUCCUAUAGUUUACAAAAAGCUCACAUAUCUAGUUCAAAGGAGUAGCUCUUUAAAAUUAAGCAGUGGCCUAAAAACUGAAAUAUUUGGUAUGCUUUUAGAGCUGGUGACUUGCUAACUUCCCUUUGUUAUCUAAUUUCUGGGCACAUUGGCAUACUGGCAUGAUAAAGACAUGGUGACUUUGCUAUAAUUAAAUACAUGUACCGUGUGAUUCUACAGGAAAAAUGCAAGGAAUGCCCACCAAGUGCAUCGCUGCAAGCAUGGGAGUUCCUUGCCUCUCCAGCGACUACCAUCUGAUUCUCCAAUCCGUCAUACUUCAACACCUACAUGAGGAGGCUUAAGUUUUCAAAAUCAAAUGGAAGGUCAAAUUCAAGCAAUUAUUAAGCAAUUCUAUAACUCAACUCACACUGAAGCUGGAGGAUCUCCUAUCGAGACGAAGCUUGCAUUCAGAAGACGUGCCAUCAUACACAUCAAUUACAAAUAUACCAGCUCCCUUCCAC
rnacentral:lncRNA from 1 species